rnacentral:lncRNA from 1 species
AUUUAAAAGUAAAUGAAAUUUAAGUGAAGGCAUUCUCAGGCUACAAGCUUAAACGAAUUUUCUUCAUGAUGUUCAUGUUUUUUGUUGUGUUGUAAUAAUUUUUUUUUACUUACGAAAUGGAGAUUUGAUGUCGUGAGGUGUCCGAUUGUGGAUCAGAGAGAAAUCAAUGUCCAAACGUUGAAAUUUUUGUGCGUGGUAAAAUGGAUUCCAGAGUAACUCUUUUUCGGGAAGUGAUUAAGAAAUCAAAUUAUUUGUCCAGAUACCUGAUUGACGCUGAAUGAGGAUUGUACAUCAGUCAGUCAGUCCUUACAUUCAUUAGAAUAUCUAAUUUGAACAAAAUAUAAAAACCAUAACAACUUGUGUCGAUUCUUUUAGUACGUACAUACAUAUAUACAUAUACAAUCAUAUGUAUAUACAAUCUAAAUAAAUAUACACACACGUAUGUA